UACGUAGGCAGCAAGCGUUGUUCGGAGUUACUGGGCGUAAAGGGUGCGUAGGUGGCUCUAUAAGUAUGGUGUGAAAUCUCCCGGCUUAACUGGGAGGGUGCGCCGUAGACUGUGGGGCUAGAGUGUGGGAGAGGAAAGUGGAAUUCCUGGUGUAGCGGUGAAAUGCGUAGAUAUCAGGAGGAACACCGGUGGUGUAAACGGCUUUCUGGACCAUAACUGACGCUGGAGGCGCGAAAAGCCUAGGGGGAGCAAACAGG
rnacentral:rRNA from 1 species